rnacentral:tRNA from 1 species
GGGUCAUUAGCUCAGUUGGUAGAGCGUCCGGCCGUUAACCGGGAGCGCACAGGUUCAAAGCCUGUAUGACCCUCCA